rnacentral:rRNA from 1 species
UACGGGGGGGGCAAGCGUUGUUCGGAAUUACUGGGCGUAAAGGGCUCGUAGGCGGCCAACUAAGUCGGAUGUGAAAUCCCCAGGCUCAACUUGGGAACUGCAUCCGAUACUGGAUGGCUUGAAUUCGGGAGAGGGAUGCAGAAUUCCAGGUGUAGCGGUGAAAUUCGUAGAUAUUCGGAAGAACACCAGUGGCGAAGGCGACUUACUGGACACAUAUUGACGCUGAGGUGCGAAAGCGUGGGGAGCAAACAGG